CAGAGGGGGCAAGCGUUGUUCGGAAUUACUGGGCGUAAAGGGCGCGUAGGCGGCCUUCUAAGUCGAACGUGAAAUCCCCGGGCUCAACCCGGGAACUGCGUCCGAGACUGGAAGGCUCGAAUCCGGGAGAGGGAUGUGGAAUUCCAGGUGUAGCGGUGAAAUGCGUAGAUAUCUGGAGGAACAUCGGUGGCGAAGGCGGCAUCCUGGACCGGUAUUGACGCUGAGGCGCGAAAGCCAGGGGAGCAAACGGGAUUAGAUACCCCGGUAGUCCUGGCCCUAAACGAUGAAUGCUUGGUGUGGCGGGUAUCGAUCCCUGCCGUGCCGAAGCUAACACAUUAAGCAUUCCGCCUGGGGAGUACGGUCGCAAGGCUG
rnacentral:rRNA from 1 species